AGCAUGUGGGUUAAUCGGAUGAUACGCCGAGAACCUUACCAGGGCUUGACAUGGCCGGGACAGCCUACGAAAGUAGGUCUCCUCAGCAAUGAGGCCGGGUCACAGGUGGUGCAUGGUUGUCGUCAGCUCGUGUCGUGAGAUGUUGGGUUAAGUCCCGCAACGAGCCGCAACCCUCGUCGGAUGUUGCCAGCAGUUCGGCUGGGCACUCUUCCGAGACUGCCCGAGCAAUCGGGAGGAAGGAGAGGACGACGUCAAAUCGGCAUGCCCCUUACGGCCUGGGCGACACACGUGCUACAAUGCCCACUACAAAGCGAGGCCACCCGGCAACGGGGAGCUAAUCGCAAAAAGGUGGGCCCAGUUCGGAUUGGGGUCUGCAACCCGACCCCAUGAAGCCGGAAUCGCUAGUAAUCGCGGAUCAGCCAUGCCGCGGUGAAUACGUUCCCGGGCCUU
rnacentral:rRNA from 1 species